UUUGGCAUUUUCCCAAAAGCGGAGGAAAAGAAACCAACAGGGAUUGCCUCAGUAACGGCGAGUGAAGCGGCAACAGCUCAAAUUUGAAAUCUGGCCUCUUGGGGUCCGAGUUGUAAUUUGUAGAGGAUGUUUCGGGUACCGCCUCGGUUUAAAUUUCUUGGAACAGAAUGUCAAAGAGGGUGAGAAUCCCGUCUUGGACCGGCGGUAGGGCCUAUGUGAAACUCCUUCGACGAGUCGAGUUGUUUGGGAAUGCAGCUCAAAAUGGGUGGUAAAUUUCAUCUAAAGCUAAAUAUUGGCCAGAGACCGAUAGCGCACAAGUAGAGUGAUCGAAAGAUGAAAAGCACUUUGAAAAGAGAGUUAAACAGUAUGUGAAAUUGUUGAAAGGGAAGCGCUUGCAACCAGACUUGAGCGCGGCGGUUCCCCCUUGCUUCUGCUUGGGUUACUCCGCCGUGUCCAGGCCAACAUCGGUUCUGGGGGUCGGUCAAAGGCUCUGGGAAUGUAUCUACCCACGGGUAGACUUAUAGACCAGGGUGUCAUGCGACCUCCCGGGACCGAGGAACGCGCUUCGGCUCGGAUGUUGGCGUAAUGGUUGUCAGCGACCCGUCUUGAAAACCCGGGACCAAA
rnacentral:rRNA from 1 species